CAAGAAUAAGCUUUGACUAGUUUCAAUGCGCCGAAUCUCGGCGAUCCUCAUCUCGAUUGUCGCAAAUUUGCUAUUAUAACGAGACUUUUUAUGAGUAAUAAAUAGAUAAGGGACCAUACAGUUUACCCAGAUACAUUGCAUGAAAUGAUUACGUUACAUAUAUAGAAAGUGCAAAGAUAAAUGAAUUAUUUAUUAAAAUAUAUGUCCAUGCAUGCUAAGCCGGUUCGCUCGAGCCGCGUUCGCUUCAGAGUGAGGACUCGAGUUCGGCUCUUUCUACUGUAGCAAAAGAUGGGAACGGCGGACGGGAAAAGAUGUUGGGUCCACAGGCCACUCGAUUCAAGCAUGAAACAGACAGCUCUGAUGAAUCUUCCCUUAUCCCCUGUGGGCCCCCACACCCACACACGCUCUUCCUGUCGGCUGCUCCCGCAUCCAUGUAUCCGGUCCUCUCACGGAUCACAUGAUCAUCAUCAUUUCCUUCACCGGCUGUAUCAACGGCCUCACCUCGUAUCACGUCCCGCCGCGGACAAAUUAAUGAUAAAAGGAAAAUAAAAACGAUUAUACCUCCUAUCACAACGAAAGCCGACGCGAUUAUAAGGGCAGGGAGCGGUCGCUGCCGUGCCAUUUUGUUUCUUUUUGGUUUUCCCCUUUUCG
rnacentral:lncRNA from 1 species